rnacentral:tRNA from 1 species
GCCUGGGUGGCUCAGUUGGUUAAGCAGCUGCCUUCAGCUCAGGUCAUGAUCCCGGUGUUGUGGGAUCGAGUCCCACAUCAGGCU